CCUACGGGUGGCAGCAGUGGGGAAUAUUGGGCAAUGGGCGCAAGCCUGACCCAGCAACGCCGCGUGAAUGAAGAAGGCUUUCGGGUUGUAAACUUCUUUUCUUAGCGACGAAGCAAGUUACGUUACCUGAGUAAUAAGCCACGGCUAACUACGUGCAAGCAGCCGCGGGAAUACGUAGGGGGCAAGCGUUAUCCGGAUGUACUGGGUGCAAAGGUCGUGUAGGCGGGAAAGCAAGUCAGAUGUGAAAACCACGGGCUGAACCUGUGGACUGCAUUUGAAACUGGUUUUCUUGAGUACUGGAGAGGGGGACGGAAUUCCUAGUGUAGCGGUGAAAUGCGUAGAGAUUAGGAGGAACACCAGUGGCGAAGGCGGUCUGUUGGAAAGGAACUGACGCUGAGGUGCGAAAGCGUGGGGAGCAAACAGGAUUAGAUACCCGAGUAGUC
rnacentral:rRNA from 1 species